rnacentral:rRNA from 1 species
GACGAACGCUGGCGGCGUGCUUAACACAUGCAAGUCGAACGGAAAGGCCCUGCUUUUGUGGGGUGCUCGAGUGGCGAACGGGUGAGUAACACGUGAGUAACCUGCCCUUGACUUUGGGAUAACUUCAGGAAACUGGGGCUAAUACCGGAUAGGAGCUCCUGCUGCAUUGUGGGGGUUGGAAAGUUUCGGCGGUUGGGGUUGGACUCGCGGCUUAUCAGCUUGUUGGUGGGGUAGUGGCUUACCAAGGCUUUGACGGGUAGCCGGCCUGAGAGGGUGACAGGCCAUACUGCGACUGAGCGACGGCCCAGACUCCUACGGGAGGCAGCAGUCGCGAAUCUUUCACAAUGGGCUGAAGCCAGAUGCAGCAGCGCCGCGUGCGGGAGGAAGGCCUUCUGGUAGGAAACCGCUUGCGCCUGGGACGAAGCGUGAGUGACGGUAAUGGGUAAAGAAGCACCGGCUAACUACGUG